rnacentral:rRNA from 1 species
UACGUAGGGUGCAAGCGUUGUCCGGAAUUAUUGGGCGUAAAGAGCUCGUAGGCGGUCUGUCGCGUCGGCUGUGAAAACCCGGAGCUCAACUCCGGGCCUGCAGUCGAUACGGGCAAACUGGAGUGUUGCAGGGGAGACUGGAAUUCCUGGUGUAGCGGUGAAAUGCGCAGAUAUCAGGAGGAACACCGGUGGCGAAGGCGCCACUCUGGGCCGUAACUGACGCUGAGGAGCGAAAGCGUGGGUAGCAAACAGG